GAGUUUGAUCCUGGCUCAGAACGAACGUUGGCGGCGUGGAUGAGGCAUGCAAGUCGCACGUGAAAGCCGCAAGGCGAGUAAAGUGGCGGACGGGCGCGUAACACGUAAUCAAGCUGCCCUCGAGACGGGGAUAACCUCGGGAAACCGAGGCUAAUACCCGAUGGACUGGACGGGACGCAUGUUCUGUCGAGUAAAUGGUGGGGAUCCUACGGGACCUGCUGCUCGGGGAGGUGAUUGCGGCCCAUCAGCUAGUUGGCGGGGUAACGGCCCACCAAGGCAACGACGGGUAGCCGGCCUUAGAGGGUGGUCGGCCGCACUGGGACUGAGACACUGCCCAGACUCCUACGGGAGGCUGCAGUCGAGAAUCUUCCGCAAUGGGCGCAAGCCUGACGGAGCGACGCCGCGUGGAGGACGAAGGCCUUCGGGUUGUAAACUCCUGUCACGAGUUAUGAAAUGCGCGAUGUGAACAGUGUCGCGUUUGACGUAAGCUCGAGAGGAAGCACUGGCUAACUCUGUGCCAGCAGCCGCGGUAAUACAGAGAGUGCAAACGUUGUUCGGAAUUACUGGGCUUAAAGCGCAC
rnacentral:rRNA from 1 species